CCUGAGAAACCCAAAAGUUCGAAUGGAGAGAUUCAUCGUCAGCGAUCCUGGCACUUGUGCGGUUCGCGAUGUCGGGGACCUCGGUCCCGCGGCACGCGUCCGUAUGAUUUAUUUGCCGGGUGUCGUCGUCGUGCACUUCUCCCCUAGUAGGACGUCGCGACCCGUUGGGUGUCGGUCUACGACUCGGGUGGGAGCCUGUCAUGUGUUACGCUUCACGGCGUCAUGUGGCAGACCCCCGGUUGUCUGACCAGCUGCCCGGCGGUAUUCGCACGGUAUCGAGUCGCAAUUUGAACUGCGUCCGGCCCGCCGCAAGCGAGGCCAGUGUUUCCCGGAUGUACGGACUUAGCGCCGUCACCGGGCCUGGCCAGCUGUUGGCCGGCGGUGUCCUGGGACUGGCUCUUCAAAUACCGGUCGGCGACGCUACUGCUUUGGGUACUUUCAGGA
rnacentral:rRNA from 1 species